rnacentral:rRNA from 1 species
UGGGGAAUAUUGCGCAAUGGGGGCAACCCUGACGCAGCAACGCCGCGUGAAGGAUGAAGGUCUUCGGAUUGUAAACUUUUGUCUUUGGUGAAGAUAGUGACGGUAGCCAAGGAGGAAGCCACGGCUAACUACGUGCCAGCAGCCGCGGUAAUACGUAGGUGGCAAGCGUUGUCCGGAUUUACUGGGUGCAAAGGGCGUGUAGACGGGUUUGCAAGUCAGAUGUGAAAUACCGCAGCUUAACUGCGGGGCUGCAUUUGAAACUGCAAAUCUUGAGUGCGGGAGAGGAAAGCGGAAUUCCUAGUGUAGCGGUGAAAUGCGUAGAUAUUAGGAGGAACACCAGUGGCGAAGGCGGCUUUCUGGACCGUAACUGACGUUGAGGCGCGAAAGCGUGGGUAGCAAACAGGAUUAGAUACCC